rnacentral:rRNA from 1 species
CCCAGCAGCCAUAUAAAUCCUGCAACUCACAACUGGCAGCCCACUGCAGCUCAGCAGGUGUGAGCCUGGUCAGUAGCCAGAUGGGAGACCUCCUGGGAGAAACUAAGGUUGCUGCUGGAA